UACAGAGGGGGCGAGCGUUGUUCGGAAUUACUGGGCGUAAAGGGCGCGUAGGCGGCCAACUAAGUCAGACGUGAAAUCCCUCGGCUCAACCGGGGAACUGCGUCUGAUACUGGAUGGCUUGAAUUCGGGAGAGGGAUGCGGAAUUCCAGGUGUAGCGGUGAAAUGCGUAGAUAUCUGGAGGAACACCGGUGGCGAAGGCGGCAUCCUGGACCGAGGAUUGACGCUGAUGCGCGAAAGCCAGGGGAGCAAACGGG
rnacentral:rRNA from 1 species